CUAUUCACUUCGGCCGCACAUAUACUAAAAUUGGAACGAUGCAGAGAAGAUUAGCAUGGCCCCUGCACAAGGAUGACACGUAAAUGCGGAAGUGUUUCAUAACAUAUUUUU
rnacentral:snRNA from 1 species